GUCAGGUCAUCUGUGCUUUUCCACUGAUAGAUUUCAGUGGAAUUCAUUAUCAUUGUCUCAGAUUUAAGAGUGAAGACAUGACAAAGGGAUGUUUGCUAUGAAGCAUGGUGGGACUAAAAGGCCCCACCAAAUGUCUCUUAAUGAACCAGAAACACAUGACCUUCAGGACUGUGUUCAGGAAGUGUGAAGUGUUUUUUUAAAUGUUCUCUUCUGUCCUCACUCUCCAUCAGCUACUUCCUGCUCCUGUGUAUGAAAAUGUCUCAGCUCUGACCAAUCGCUUGGCUCCUGCAGCACAGAGAGAACCAAUAGAAGAGCAGGAUGGCCACCACUGUGCCAUCAUCCACACCUCUCUCUCAGAGAACCAGGACGAGGACCAGACGGAGAUGGGAGGAACCGCAGAGUAAGCACUGUCAAAUAAACACCCCAGAGUGUGAACCAGUACCGGCAGCAGGAUUUAAAUAGUGUUACUGAGUAUAGUGUCUGAUUCAUCCAGUUGAAACAGGACAAUAGGAUGGCUGAUUGUUUGCUGAACAUCCUAAGGCUGUUUUCUACUGUUUUCCACUUCUCUAUCAUAAAUAUGGGAUCUUUGCAUUGUAUUAAUGGUAUUUAUUUGAGUAUGGUUAUCCUGUGAUUUUCAUUACCAUUAUU
ensembl:lncRNA